rnacentral:rRNA from 1 species
AGUGAACGCUGGCGGUAGGCCUAACACAUGCAAGUCGAACGGCAGCACAGUAAGAUCUUUCUCUUACUGUUGGCGACUGGCGGACGGGUGACGAAUACAUCGCAUUCUUCUUUUUCUUGGGUGAUAACGUAGGGAAACUUACGCUAAUACCGCAUACUUCCUACCGGUUAAAUCAUUGGUUCUUCGCACCUUUCGCGUUUCUAUUAGCCGAUUUCGGAUUAGCUAGUUGGCUGGGUAAAGUCCCACCAAGGCGACGAUCCGUAGCUUGUCUGAGAGGAUGAUCAGCCACACUGGAACUGAGACACGGUCCAGACUCCUACGGGAGGCAGCAGUGGGGAAUAUUGGACAAUGGGCGAAAGCCUGAUGCAGCAAUACCGCGUGGGUGAAGAAGGACUUCGGGUUGUAAAGCCCUGUUGUUGGGAAAGAAAAGAAGCAGGAUAAAAGGCGGAUGUUGUGACGGUACCGAAAGAAUAAGCAACGGCUAACUACGUG